AUUCAGGCCGAGCUGUUUGGUGAGAGCCCUUCACAAGAAAUGAGCAAAAAUGCUCUGAAAAACAAGAAGAAAAGGGAAAAACUGAAGGAGAAAAAAGCCGCUGGUUCGUGAUUAAAUGUCGUAUUGCUGAAAUGCCUCAUGAUAAAAUGUAGCUUUGGACUUGAGAGGAAGCUGCAGCUAACCUGUAUCACGAUGUUCAUUCAAUAUUCGUUCUUAAUGAUUUUGCCGGAAAAUUUUGAGAUGAUUUUUGCUUAUAUAAGCCUGUGAUUGUGUAUCUGGAGAAAGCUGUAUGUUGAGACAUGUAACAUUUUCGUUAAUAUUAUAUGCUAUAUUAUGGAAGUUA